rnacentral:rRNA from 1 species
GCUCAAAUUUGAAAUCUUAAAGGGUUUCCCUUUACGAAUUGUAGUUUAAAGAAGUGUUUUCUGUUGAGGUUUUGGUAAAAGUUCUUUGGAAUAGGACAUCAUAGAGGGUGAGAAUCCCGUAUUUGACCUUUACUUUCAACUUUGUGAUACACUUUCAAAGAGUCGGAUUGUUUGGGAAUGCAGUCCAAAAUGGGUGGUAAAUUUCAUCUAAAGCUAAAUAUUGGCGAGAGACCGAUAGCGAACAAGUACCGUGAGGGAAAGAUGAAAAGAACUUUGAAAAGAGAGUUAAACAGUACGUGAAAUUGUCAAAAGGGAAGCGUUUGACACCAGUGUUGUUUUUCUGAAAAUCAAUUAAAGAACUGUUUAUGCUAAGUUGUUUAGACUUUAUCAGCUAACUGUUUAGUUUUGAGCUUUUCUUUAAUGCACUUUUCAGUUAACAAG